rnacentral:rRNA from 1 species
GCUAGCCUUAAACGAGAUAAAAAGAUACUAUUUAUCCGCCAGAGAACUACGAGCAAAAUACUUAAAACUCAAAGGACUUGGCGGCAUUUCACAUCACCCUAGAGGAGCCCGUCCAAUAAUCGACAACACACGCUCAACCCUACCAUUUUUGGCCCCUCCAGCCUAUAUACCGCCGUCGUCAGCUAACCUUGUGAAAGAAAAAAAGUAAGCACAACAGCCCUCGCUAAAACGUCAGGUCAAGGUGUAGCUAAUAAAAUGGCUGUGAUAGGCUACAUUUUCUAACAAAGAAAACACGGAAAAUACAAUGAAACCUGUAUUUAAAGGCGAAUUUAGCAGUAAAAUAGGAAAUGAUCCCUACUUUAAUACCGCUCUGGAAUGCGCACACACCGCCCGUCACCCUCCUCGAAUAAUAGAUGAGGCAAGUCGUAACAUGGUAAGCGUACUGGAAAGUGCGCUUGGCUUU